ACAGGGAUUGCCCUAGUAACGGCGAGUGAAGCGGCAACAGCUCAAAUUUGAAAUCUGGCCUCGGCCCGAGUUGUAAUUUGCAGAGGAUGCUUCUGGCGCGGUGCCUUCCGAGUUCCCUGGAACGGGACGCCAAAGAGGGUGAGAGCCCCGUAUGGUUGGACACCAAGCCUGUGUGAAGCUCCUUCGACGAGUCGAGUAGUUUGGGAAUGCUGCUCUAAAUGGGAGGUAAAUCUCUUCUAAAGCUAAAUACCGGCCAGAGACCGAUAGCGCACAAGUAGAGUGAUCGAAAGAUGAAAAGCACCUUGAAAAGGGGGUUAAAUAGUACGUGAAAUUGUUGAAAGGGAAGCACUUAUGACCAGACUUGGGCCGGGCGGCUCAUCAGGGGUUCUCCCCUGUGCACUCCGCCCGGCACAGGCCAGCAUCGGUUCUCGUGGGGGGAUAAGACCGUCGGGAACGUAGCACCCUCCGGGGUGUGUUAUAGCCCGGCGGACGAUACCCCCGUGGGGACCGAGGUCCGCGCUCCGCAAGGAUGCUGGCGUAAUGGUCACCAGUGACCCGUCUUGAAACACGGACCAAGGAGUCGUCCAUUAGAGCGAGCGUUUGGGUGUAAAACCCGCACGCGUAAUGAAAGUGAACGCAGGUGAGAGCUUCGGCGCAUCAUCGACCGAUCCUGAUGUUCUCGGAAGGAUUUGAGUAAGAGUUUUAACGGACGGACCCGAAAGACAGUGAACUAUGCUUGUAUAGGGUGAAGCCAGAGGAAACUCUGGUGGAGGCUCGCAGCGGUUCUGACGUGCAAAUCGAUCGUCAAAUAUGAGCAUGGGGGCGAAAGACUAAUCGAACUUUCU
rnacentral:rRNA from 1 species